GACGAACGCUGGCGGCGUGCUUAACACAUGCAAGUCGAACGGAAAGGCCCUGCUUUUGUGGGGUGCUCGAGUGGCGAACGGGUGAGUAACACGUGAGUAACCUGCCCUUGACUUUGGGAUAACUUCAGGAAACUGGGACUAAUACCGGAUAGGAGCUCCUGCUGCAUGGUGGGGGUUGGAAAGUUUCGGCGGUUGGGGAUGGACUCGCGGCUUAUCAGCUUGUUGGUGGGGUAGUGGCUUACCAAGGCUUUGACGGGUAGCCGGCCUGAGAGGGUGACCGGCCACAUUGGGACUGAGAUACGGCCCAGACUCCUACGGGAGGCAGCAGUGGGGAAUAUUGCACAAUGGGCGGAAGCCUGAUGCAGCAACGCCGCGUGCGGGAUGACGGCCUUCGGGUUGUAAACCGCUUUCGCCUGUGACGAAGCGUGAGUGACGGUAAUGGGUAAAGAAGCACCGGCUAACUACGUGCCAGCAGCCGCGGUGAUACGUAGGGUGCGAGCGUUGUCCGGAUUUAUUGGGCGUAAAGGGCUCGUAGGUGGUUGAUCGCGUCGGAAGUGUAAUCUUGGGGCUUAACCCUGAGCGUGCUUUCGAUACGGGUUGACUUGAGGAAGGUAGGGGAGAAUGGAAUUCCUGGUGGAGCGGUGGAAUGCGCAGAUAUCAGGAGGAACACCAGUGGCGAAGGCGGUUCUCUGGGCCUUUCCUGACGCUGAGGAGCGAAAGCGUGGGGAGCGAACAGGCUUAGAUACCCUGGUAGUCCACGCUGUAAACGGUGGGUACUAGGUGUGGGGUCCAUUCCACGGGUUCCGUGCCGUAGCUAACGCUUUAAGUACCCCGCCUGGGGAGUACGGCCGCAAGGCUAAAACUCAAAGGAAUUGACGGGGCCCCGCACAAGCGGCGGAGCAUGCGGAUUAAUUCGAUGCAACGCGUAGAACCUUACCUGGGUUUGACAUGGAUCGGGAGUGCUCAGAGAUGGGUGUGCCUCUUUUGGGGUCGGUUCACAGGUGGUGCAUGCCUGUCGUCAGCUCGUGUCGUGAGAUGUUGGGUUAAGUCCCGCAACGAGCGCAACCCUUGUUCACUGUUGCCAGCACGUUAUGGUGGGGACUCAGUGGAGACCGCCGGGGUCAACUCGGAGGAAGGUGGGGAUGACGUCAAGUCAUCAUGCCCCUUAUGUCCAGGGCUUCACGCAUGCUACAAUGGCUGGUACAGAGAGUGGCGAGCCUGUGAGGGUGAGCGAAUCUCGGAAAGCCGGUCUCAGUUCGGAUUGGGGUCUGCAACUCGACCUCAUGAAGUCGGAGUCGCUAGUAAUCGCAGAUCAGCAACGCUGCGGUGAAUACGUUCCCGGGGCU
rnacentral:rRNA from 1 species